rnacentral:rRNA from 1 species
GACGAACGCUGGCGGCGUGCUUAACACAUGCAAGUCGAACGGAGUUUUAGUAAAUGAUUGAUUUAGCUUGCUAUUGAGAGAUUUUGCUAAAACUUAGUGGCGGACGGGUGAGUAACGCGUGGGUAACCUGCCGUAUACAGGGGGACAACAGUUGGAAACGACUGCUAAUACCGCAUAAGCGCACUAAAGCUGCAUGGCUCAGUGUGAAAAACUCCGGUGGUAUAAGAUGGAUUCGCGUCUGAUUAGCUAGUUGGUGAGGUAACGGCUCACCAAGUCGACGAUCAGUAGCCGGACUGAGAGGUUGAACGGCCACAUUGGGACUGAGACACGGCCCAGACUCCUACGGGAGCAGCAGUGAGGGAUAUUGCACAAUGGGGGAAACCCUGAUGCAGCGAUGCCGCGUGGAGGAAGAAGGUUUUUCGGAUUGUAAACUCCUUUAUCAGGGACGAUAAUGACGGUACCUGAAGAAAAAGCUCCGGCUAACUACGUGCCAGCAG